GAUGAACGCUAGCGGCAGGCUUAAUACAUGCAAGUCGUGGGGCAAGCGUUGGUAGUAAUACCGGCGCCUAGACCGGCAAACGGGUGAGGAACACGUACACAACCUUCCUUCAAGUGGAGAAUAACCCGAGGAAACCUGGACUAAUACUCCGUAACAUGUUAAAAAGGCAUCUUUUUAAUAUUAUAGCAGCAAUGCGCUUGAAGACGGGUGUGCGCAUGAUUAGGUAGUUGGCGGGGUAACGGCCCACCAAGCCUACGAUCAUUAACUGGUGUGAGAGCAUGAUCAGUCACACGGGCACUGAGACACGGGCCCGACUCCUACGGGAGGCAGCAGUAAGGAAUAUUGGUCAAUGGAGGAAACUCUGAACCAGCCAUGCCGCGUGGAGGAUGAAGGUCCUCUGGAUUGUAAACUUCUUUUAUAUGGGACGAAAAAACGGUUUUCUAACCGGACUGACGGUACCAUACGAAUAAGCACCGGCUAACUCCGUGCCAGCAGCCGCGGUAAUACGGAGGGUGCAAGCGUUAUC
rnacentral:rRNA from 1 species